rnacentral:lncRNA from 1 species
AUUAGUAUAAAUAUAAUGUUUGGAGAAUUUUUUGAAGGCUAAAUGUUAGCUAAUAUAAAUUGGUCUUGGCUGUGCAGAAAAAACAAACUAUCAUUUUUUCAUUAAUGCAAGGUAUGCAUUGCAGCGGCACAAUUUUGCUCUUCAUGCCUCACUGUAGUGCCAAAAUCACCUCAACUCAUUCGAAAAAUACACUACAACGUCUGAAUUUGUUCCUUAACCAGCACUACAACGCCUCCCUCAAAGCCAAGUUUAAAAGCGAGUGUUGCAGUGCCUCAUAACGAUGGAAUACUGGCAUUACAGCGCCAAUAGCGAAUUUAAGUUGUUUAAGUUAGGCAUUUCUUGACAGACUCAACACAACUUCUCCUCUUACUAGCCAAAACUCACCCAAAACCUCCCCAAUCAAAAACCCUCAUGCCCUAGCUCAUCCUAAUCCACUUCUAAGCCUCAAUUCGUGCCUUCACAAGGGAUUCCUCACUGUAAGUUUUCGGAUUCUAGGGUUCUAAUUCUGCCAGGUACUCGGGUUUCCCAAUUCUUCUUUAGUUUUUUGAAGUUUUCAUUUGCUAUGGGUCUGGAAAGUGCUUUGAGUUCAUCUUAAAUUUUUUUGGUCUGCUAUUAUUGCUUAGUUUUACUCCGCUUGGAAAUUUUUGUGUUUGUGAUUACUACAGCUAGGGCUAGAAAAUUCAAUUUGAAAGAGUGCAAUCUAGGUGUUUAUUUUUUGGCCCAAGUAAGCUUUCUCUUAUUUUUGAUUCACUCAAGUGUAUUUUGGUUGGAGAUUCUUGUUAGCUUGAUAUAUGGCAGUAGCCUUCAACUAAUUGGUUUGAUUUUGGUUCUGAUUUCAACAAAUUAACUUUUGAUAGGAGCUUCGCUUUAGCUAGGCAAAUUGGUUUCCCUUGUUUUGAUUGAUAAUUGAUAUUCAGUUGGGGUAAGUUUUAGUUUAGUUUAGGUUUGAUUUGUCCAGGUAUUCAAUUUACAAAGUGUUUAUUGAAACUUUUGACAUGGCAUCCAAACGUUAACGAACUAGCACUGGCCCAUCUACAUCAGCACCAACAUGGGACCGUACGAAGUUUAUUAGCGAGGAAGCAUGAAAGAGAUACAAUUAGACCAUUGUAAACAAGAGUUUAGUGCCUUAGCAAGGUUUGAGGCAUGAUCAGAAGCAAGAUGGUGAUAUGAUGGAUAGGAUUAUUUAGAGGAAGUGGGUGCACUUUACCAAGCCAUCUGAGUCGGCUAUUAUCUCAAUGGUCUGUGAAUUUUAUGCAAAUGCCAGUGCAGAUGGUCCAACGAUAGUUCAAGUCAGAGGUAAAGCAAUUGCAUUUGAUAAUCAGACCAUUAACACUCUUUUUGCGAUGCCUGGCUAUGAUAACAAGGAUUAUAUGGAGCCAAGGAUUCGUUCUUAUAACCUUGAUGACAUAGUAAAAAGGCUUUGCAAGCUCGGGACUGUGUGGAAGACGAAUGAAUACACCGGUGAGAAGACCAGUUUUCCCCACCAAGCUCUUAGUCGCUAUGGUAAAGCGUGGUACAGUUUCAUUUGCUCUAGUAUUAUGCAUACUGUAAAAUCCCAAAUUUUACGAAUAAAGAUUUAAUUUUCUCGAUUUUUUUUUAAAAUUAUGGUGUCGAUUUGAGAUAAUAUUAUAGUUGUGGAUAAUAUUUAUAAAUUUUGAAAAGUAUGCAAGUUGUUGUAUAAUAUUCGAUUGGUCGGGGAAUAUUCUUUUUGUCAGGGAAUAUCCGUACGAUGGUACAAUCAUU